UCGCCGUGGCCGAUGACCGCGCCACCAGGGACCGCGGCCACUUGAUGAGGAGGCCUGGACCUUGGCGCAGACCCAAGCUACCGAGCGGCGGCAGCGGGCAGAUCCCUCCUCAUCGCGGAGCUCCUCCUGCCGGCGCCACGCCGCGCCGCGAUGCUGCUCGCCGCUACUCUGAUCUAACCAUAGUGUCGGCGCUGCUCCUCCUCAAGGUCAAGGUAGGCCGGGUAGGCUCCUCGUAGGCGUCGGCUUCCCCUGUCUGCCACUCCUCUCCUCUGAUGGAGUUGACCUUUGCUGGAGCGGACAAGUUUGGAUGCCCCUGCACCUUUGGUGGUGGGCUAGAUAACCCCCCUCCGACCCUAAUGCUCUCUCUUUCUGUAAUGUAUCCAUGUCCAUCUUUAAGCAUUUCAAGCAGGGGGCAAGCAGCUAGCAAAAUACUGAAUACAAAGCUCUUUGUUGUGUUUUACCAAAAUACUGAAUAACAACAUUACAUAGUGAUCUGGAUUUUGCUUGUCUUCUGUAAAGGUGGAAUCUGAGCCUUCCUGUUGAGGACACCCUGAUGUUUAGCUGGAUUCCAUCGAAAGAUAAUUUUGUUGCCUUUCUUGCUUUUUAGGUACCUAGCCUUUUAUUUGUCAUGGAGGAGGACAGUUUUGUCUGGGAGCCAGGGCCUUUUGUUCCUUUGUAUGGAGCAAUGGGAAAUGAUGAGCUCCUGCUUCUUUUUAUGUCGGUUCAGGAGUGUAGGAAGUGGUUCCUCGCCGGUUGGACGUCGUUCAACCGCAACUCUGGCACCCACUGAGUAUUGUCUCGGCUACAACCUCCCUCGGUGAGCUGCAUCUUCCUACUGCUCCUCUGCUUCGGCUACUGUACGGGACAUAGCCAGGGCUAUGAUGAUCGGCUAUGGCUGAUAUAAGCAUGCUCUCGAGCAAUUGAGGCACUUGUGGGUAUUAAGUUGGAUACCCCCUCGUUUCUUUGAGCUGUUUUGAUCGUGUUCUUAUUUUAGUGGCUCUGUCCUUGGAUGGUCAUUUCUGAUGAGUGAUAACCAGGGCAGUUUCACCCUUGUAAGAACAUCCAGAAACAUGAGACCGGUCGAAAACCCCGGCUCCUCAGCGAUUUGGGCUUCCUGGUCGUCCGAUCAUUUUCCUAAUGCUAUUCUGCCCGUUGGAUCUUUCUCCGGAUCAAUCCUGGCCGCCGGAUCGAAACCCGGCGCUCUACCGAUGGGUUAGCUUGUUUGGCUCGCAGCGUCGCUCACUCGGUCUAUUCGACCCGUGAUCGCUGGCGUGUGGGGCCUUUGCGUGUGGGACGCGUCCGUCAGCGACCGUGUGUUCGGGCAUGGCAUGUGCGUCAAGUCACGUGCCCCACCGGUCGGAGGGCAUUCUUGCUAGGGCAAUGAUGAUUAACCAUGGCUGAAAUAAAUGUGCCUUUGAGCAAUCAAGACACCUGUGGGUAUCAAGUUGGAUCCUCCCUCUUGUCUCUAGAAUCCUUUUUGAUCUUGUGAUACUUAUUGUUCUGUCCUUGGAUGGUCAUUCUUGUUGAGUGAUAACCAGCACAGCUCCACUCUAUAAACAGAUUGAUCUGGUGAUAAGAGAUGACGGGGUGGGUCAUAUGAUGGAGAAAAGGCGAAUCUGAGCCCACCAUGCAUUGAACCCCCAAUCCUUUUUAUUUGUAGUUAAAGGUGUUGCUUAUUUAUGCUCCGGUGUUUAUAACCGUCUUAUGUAAAGAUUUCUUCUCUCUCACACCUUUAUUGCAUAUAAGUUGUUCUUGAUCUUUUAUUGUGUGUUAUUGGUCCUUGAUUUAAUCUGGUUAAGAGUAAGUUGCACUUUGUUAUUUUGGGAUAAGAGAUAGUUCGGCAAUGCUAUUGGUUCUUCAUGAGGAUUUCAGAGGAGGAUUUUUGAUAUUAUUUUAUUGUUAACGGGUCAUGCCAGUAAGAUUUAUGUGUUUGUUUGCCGUGAGGAUCAAUGGGUCAUUGCACACUUAUGUGUACUGCUACCUGGUAAUCGUUGGUCUUUUGUUAUAAAGACCUUGCUAUGAUUUUGUACGGUCCUUCUUCCCUAAGGUGUAUUAUG